rnacentral:rRNA from 1 species
AUUGAACGCUGGCGGCAUGCCUUACACAUGCAAGUCGAACGGCAGCGGACCUUCGGGUGCCGGCGAGUGGCGAACGGGUGAGUAAUAUAUCGGAACGUACCUUUCAGUGGGGGAUAACGUAGCGAAAGUUACGCUAAUACCGCAUAUUCUGUGAGCAGGAAAGCAGGGGAUCGCAAGGCCUUGCGCUGAUUGAGCGGCCGAUAUCAGAUUAGCUAGUUGGUGAGGUAAAGGCUCACCAAGGCGACGAUCUGUAGCGGGUCUGAGAGGAUGAUCCGCCACACUGGAACUGAGACACGGUCCAGACUCCUACGGGAGGCAGCAGUGGGGAAUUUUGGACAAUGGGCGCAAGCCUGAUCCAGCCAUGCCGCGUGAGUGAAGAAGGCCUCGGUUGUAA